rnacentral:lncRNA from 7 species
AGGUUUUUUUAAAUAUUUUAAAUGGUCUUUAAAGGUGAAUCUUUUGAUUUUAGUUCUGAACAGGCUUACCAGGUUUACCAUCUUCUAAAAUCUGAGUAACUGAAAGUGGAGGAAUGUUUUCUUCAGCUAAAUCUUUAAAUGAAGAAUAAAUGACAUGAGAUUAAAGAGUUGUUGCAACAUACAGUUUAUGAUCUUUGGCACAUUUUUGAUACACACGCCAAACUUCCAAUCACAGGAAACUGCAUCAAAGAGGAAGGGUAUUAGAGCUUUUUGCUUUUUCAUGUGUUGUCCUCACCGAAGGAAUGGUGUGCUGCUGUUACACUGGUGACAAAGAAUUUUGCUUCAAAGGCUGAAAUAGAAUGAGAACUAAAUACUUUUCCAAACCUAGGAGGUGAAGUUCUUAGAAUAGCUAAGAAAGUCUGUGCUAUUGGCUUCAACUAUGUCUUUCCAGGAAAGGAACUUUGACUGAGAAAGGUCAUUCUAUGAUUCUAUGAAAAUAACCAUGGGAUGAAGCUAAAGAGUUUUGACGUGAUCACAAACUCCAAUGACAGUUGGCCCUUUUGUGAAGAGAAGAAAGAAAGGAGGGGAACGGGCAUGUGGGGAGAAAAGAAAUGUUAGUUUUUGUCUUGUUUACUAGACACAGAAUGCUACAGUGUUUCACUGUAUUGAAAUUAACUGUUAUUCUUAAUUUUCUAAGUAUCUGGAACAGCAUUUUGGCAGAAAGGGCUGGAAGCAUUUUUCAGCUGUUUCUUUAGCUGUAUCGUGUUCUUAGUCAAUUAACUUUAGUCAUUCUGUAUGUUACAGCUAAUAUUACAAUAUUACCAGAAUAGCAGUGCUUUCUCAGAUAUUGCUGGUAUUAUGAAGUUAAAAACAAUUAGAACUGAAAAGGGCAUUUCCUUUAAAUUCUUCAUUAUCUUUUGUAGAAACACAUAAAUUAGUUUUGAAAUCCACUGCUGUUAUUUCAUGAAUGAAUGCUUUCUCUUGUCAGUAGGCAUGUUUUUUUCCCUCUUUUAAUAUUAAUUCCUAUAAAUCUAUUUUUGAAUUUUAAAGAGGGUCUUUAUUUCAUUCUAUUACUUUAUUCGAAUGUGAAAUUUUGAAUUUCAGCAUGUUAAGGGAAGAAUUCCAAGAUGUUUAUAAAAUUAUCUCAUAAAAUGGCAUUAGCCCUGCAAGCCUUUCGUAUCAUGGCUAUACAGGGGAGUUUCCAAAAAAUUUGCCUUCUGGUUGUUCCUCUUGUAAAGAGUGUGAAAGCUUGUUUCAUUUUCUAACUCUGUCAAAUUUAAAAACUGUUGCUAAAUAAAUAGUCUUGCUAAUUUUCCUUUAUACAGACAUGUAUGCACACUUUUGACAUAUUCUGUUAAUUUUUUUACCAGUUUUCAAGGUCAUUGCACCAGAAAAUGCACACACAAAAAAGAAAACUUUUUUCAAAAAGUAACAAAACUAUAAAAAUAAAAAGUGAUU